rnacentral:rRNA from 1 species
GACGAACGCUGGCGGCGCGCCUAACACAUGCAAGUCGAACGAGCGAGAGAGAGCUUGCUUUCUCAAGCGAGUGGCGAACGGGUGAGUAACGCGUGAGGAACCUGCCUCAAAGAGGGGGACAACAGUUGGAAACGACUGCUAAUACCGCAUAAGCCCACAGGUCGGCAUCGACCAGAGGGAAAAGGAGCAAUCCGCUUUGAGAUGGCCUCGCGUCCGAUUAGCUAGUUGGUGAGGUAAUGGCCCACCAAGGCGACGAUCGGUAGCCGGACUGAGAGGUUGAACGGCCACAUUGGGACUGAGACACGGCCCAGACUCCUACGGGAGGCAGCAGUGGGGAAUAUUGCACAAUGGGGGAAACCCUGAUGCAGCGACGCCGCGUGGAGGAAGAAGGUCUUCGGAUUGUAAACUCCUGUUGUUGAGGAAGAUAAUGACGGUACUCAACAAGGAAGUG